rnacentral:sRNA from 1 species
ACAAAAUGCCGUCGGAUAAAACCAAUGGCGGCAAAUGAAGAACCUGGUCGCAGAGUAUGAGAGCAAACGGCUAUGAGAGCGCAGACGCAAUUAAAUGCAAGAAGAGAACGCGUUGUCAUAGCAACGGCUGCGGCAGCCAUCUUGGAUGUGAGAGAGGAUUGUCUGUAGCGGCCAUGCUGUUGGCAAGCCACCGACACUCACCUGCGGCGGCGGCUAUUGUGAAGUUCUGUGACGUGACUGAAAUAUCGGAACCAGAGCUGCCGCAGAGCAGGCAAAUGUUGUUUGUGCUUGUGCGGCGACUUCUGCCAGGCCGCAGUGCCGCAGCUGCGACGUUCGCGGCGGCCGGUAAACGAGUGCGCCUGCGUUGUGCCCGGACUCCGACCUCGUCUGCCAUGUGGAUGGAUGGAAACAGAGACAGCGGCAGUGGCAGUGGCAGCGCAGCGGCUUUGUCGAGGUGAAUUUUUUUUUACUGUGACCCCCUGAAGAGAUGAGAAUUUGGACGACAGCUGUUUCGGACUUGGCGGAUGGAUACUUUACGCACAG